CCCCUAGUAACUGCGAGUGAAGCGGGAAGAGCUCAAAUUUAAAAUCUGGCGGUUCCACCGUCCGAGUUGUAACCUGGAGAAGCGUUUUCCGUGCCGGACCGCAUACAAGUCCUCUGGAACGGGGCGUCAUAGAGGGUGAGAAUCCCGUCUUUGAUGCGGACUACCGGUGCUCUGUGAUGCGCUCUCGAAGAGUCGAGUUGUUUGGGAAUGCAGCUCAAAAUGGGUGGUGAAUUCCAUCUAAAGCUAAAUAUUGGCGAGAGACCGAUAGCGAACAAGUACCGUGAGGGAAAGAUGAAAAGCACUUUGGAAAGAGAGUAAAACAGUACGUGAAAUUGUUGAAAGGGAAACGCUUGAAGUCAGUCGCGUCUUCCGGAACUCAGCCUUGCUUCUGCUUGGUGCACUUUCCGGUUUGACGGGCCAGCAUCAGUUUUGGUGGGCGGACAAAGGCAGGGGGAAGGUGGCAGCUCCGGCUGUGUUAUAGCCCCUUGUUGUACGCGCUCUCUGGGACUGAGGAAUCCGGUGCUUGCACCUGGGAUGCUGGCGUAAUGGCUUUAAACGACCCGUCUUGAAACACGGACCAAGGAGUGCUACAUGCUCGCGAGUGUUUGGGUGGAAAACCCGAGCGCGUAAUGAAAGUGAAAGUCGAGACCCUUUGCGGGGGCAUCGACGCCCGAGCCUGACGUUUUCUGAAGGCCUUGCGGUAGAGCGAGUAUGUUGCGACCCGAAAGAUGGUGAACUAUUCCUGAGGAGGGCGAAGCCAGAGGAAACUCUGGUGGGAGGCUCGUAGCGGUCCUGACGUGCAAAUCGAUCGCAGGACUUGGGUAUAGGGGCGAAAGACUAAUCGAAACCAUUGUAUUGCUACUCGGUGGUUAAGAGGCGACCGAAAGGUUGUGGCCUAGUAAGCGUUGAGGCUUGCGACACUAUCAAAUUGCGGGGACGUCCUAAAGCUUUCACGACCAAGCACUGUGUGGAAACACCGGUGUGGCCGAGUUAACAGCCCUGGGUAUGGUAACACUGUGAAAGAUGUAACAAUGGAUAAUCCGCAGCCAAGCCCUAAGGGCUCCUAGUGAGCCUACGGGUGCAGUUCACAGACUAGAUGGUAGUGGGUGCGGCUGACCUGUCAGCUGUGCUUAAGAUAUAGUCGGUCCUGCCGUGAAAGCGGUCCAGCGGAGGAAGGCAUCUUGGUCCCUCAACUUUUGACCUGAUGCCAGGAGCCGUUGGGGAACUCCUUUUUGUGCCGUUAUCUAGUUAGUAACGUGCAUGAAUGGAUUUCUUGGGUGUAAUGCUAGUAGCUGGUUCCUGCCGAAGUU
rnacentral:rRNA from 1 species